CCAUCACAUACGCCUUUAAUCAGAAUAGCC
rnacentral:sRNA from 1 species